rnacentral:rRNA from 1 species
CGAGAAAGCCCGCAAGGGUGAGUACAGCGGCGCACGGGUGCGUAACACGUGGGUAAUCUGCCCUGGAGCCCGGAAUAACUCCCCGAAAGGGGUGCUAAUGCCGGAUGAGCCCACGGGGUCCUUGGACCCUGAGGGAAAAGGUGGCCUCUGUAUACAAGCUAUCACUUCAGGAUGAGCCCGCGGCCCAUCAGCUAGUUGGCGGGGUAAUGGCCCACCAAGGCUACGACGGGUAGCUGGUCUGAGAGGACGAUCAGCCACACUGGAACUGAGACACGGUCCAGACUCCUACGGGAGGCAGCAGUGGGGAAUCUUGCGCAAUGGGCGAAAGCCUGACGCAGCAACGCCGCGUGUGUGAUGAAGGUCUUCGGAUCGUAAAGCACUGUCGCGAGGGACG